rnacentral:lncRNA from 1 species
AUACUACUUUAGGAUAUUAUCUUCUCAUUAUUAUUCAUGCUUUACUACUUUUUUCAAACUUGAUUACUACGGCUGACUUAAGAGGCUGACUUAAGAAUGUGCUCAGCUUCUCAGGUGUGUAGUCCUCUGAAAAGCAGACUUUUCCUUAUGUGUCUCUUCAUGUCACCUCAACUCAGUAUUGGCAUUUAGUUUGUAUCCAGUGAUUUAUUUUCUCACAACUGUACAAGAAUUACCAAAUUCAUCACCAUGAGGAUUGAUGCUUUUUGAAAGAAAAAAGAACUUGCGAAAGGAAAGUUGAAAAAUUAAAGGCAGCGGUGAGAAGAUAGAAUUGGCUUGUUUCAGGGCACCCAAGAGUUAGGAGAAUUUACUGUUCAUUAUACAGGAGAUGGGGGAAGAAGCAAUAUUAUGGCUACCCUGGCGGAGGCAGUUUCAACUGUUCUAGGUGUAUUAUACUAAACAUGUUAUUAAAAUGUAUAAUGGGUUCUCUCCAGGUGGAACUGUGUCAGCCAUUCUGCAGCAUCCUCACAAUUAUCCUACUUACUGCUAGCUCAGCUUUGCUUAGUAUUUCCAGGAAAUCACAAAUGAAGGCAAGAACUCUAUCUGCCUCCUUCCUCAGGAAUAUAGAAUUGCCUUCAGUCAACAUACAUCUGGAACCAUGGUCCAAAUGAUCAUAUACUAUACCAGACUGUCUUCAGUUAUCAUCUGUAUUCUGGAUCCUGCACCUAGAGCACAAACUAUUAUUAUUUGGUUAUCAUAUUUCCCAUUCUUCCUCUAAUCUCAGAUCUGAAAUUCAGCGAUGUAAUUCAAGUCCUGAAAUUAAUUUUAAAUAUUAUUAAAAUUCUCCUCUAACAACUGUAGGUCUUGCAGAAUCCUAAAGGGCUAAUCAUGAAUUCUCCUGCCUUCAUUGAUUGUGACCAUAGGAAUAUGGACCGCUGGGGCUCUCUGACUCUGAACCACCAACCAAAGAGCAUACAUGGGCUGGAUCUAGGCCUUCCUCCACAUAUGUAGCAGAUGUGCACCUUGGUCUACAUGUGGAUCCAGGACAACUGGAAUGGGGGCUAUCCCAAAAGCUGUUGCCUGUAUGUGGAAUAUGUUCUAGCUGGGUUUAGUAGGAAUGAUGGUAACAAGCUGGUUCCUUUAUUAGCAAUACUUACUACUCUCUACCUGGUCUUUACCUGAGGGCCAACCCAUGACAUUACUCAAGCCAACCAGUAAUAUAUAUCUGUAGAAACUGCAGAUUAUCACUCCUUAUUUAUGAUGAUAAAAAAAUGUACUUCUUACAGCUCCUUAUUUAGCUUGUUUCUGAAUACAGGUCCUCUGUACCCCUACGUAAGCAGUCUUAUCUUCCUUCUCCAAAACUGUGAGCUUAUUUAUUUAAUAAAUUACUACCAAUAUCAUUUAUCCAGGGUGUAUCAUGCAUGGUUUUUGGCCAUUUAUUACUAGUGGGUCUGAGGGAUCACUCCUUGAUGUGUUGUAUGAAUAAAAAGAAUUCAGAGCCAAAGUCACCCUUUUCUAGUGUUUUGAUUGUGAUGACUUUUAUUAACUUUCUGGCAGAGGAAAGUUGGUAGGAUUUUUCUACUUGUCUUGAUAUCUGUCUUCAGUUAGCAUGGAUCUUGUGUUAAUGAUUACUUUUGAGUGACCCUUGUCUCAACUCCAUGUUACUGGGAUAAAUGUGAUAUCUGUAUGGAAACAGUCUAUCCUAUUCUGUAUACAACUGUCACUCAUUCAACCAUGACUUUUAUCCAGCAGCUAAAAAACCACAAUUUUGAACAUGCAAAGAAGUGUAGAGCAUAUUAGCUUGGUGGUCCCCACAUUCUGGAAGGAAAACAGACAAUAAGAGCAACGAUUUUAAUGUAGAGAUGUUAAGCGCUCUAAACAUGAAAUGGCUGCAAUAUAUGGAAGUUCUCAAGAGAAAUAUUAAAAGAAUCUCAGAAUUCACUCAAGAAUAUAAGAUUCAGUCUUCCAAGUGGAUAUUUUGAAGAUCAGAGUAGAAAAGUACAUAUAUAACUGGGCAGAAUAUUCUAGACCCUUGACAUACCAUGUACUGGUGUUUGGACCCGUCUUACAAACUUUAUUGCUAUAACCCCUUUUCUUU